rnacentral:rRNA from 1 species
UUACCAUGCAGUCGAGCGGGGUGAUGGUGCUUGCACUAUCACUUAGCGGCGGACGGGUGAGUAAUGCUUAGGAAUCUGCCUAUUAGUGGGGGACAACAUCUCGAAAGGGAUGCUAAUACCGCAUACGUCCUACGGGAGAAAGCAGGGGAUCACUUGUGACCUUGCGCUAAUAGAUGAGCCUAAGUCGGAUUAGCUAGUUGGUGGGGUAAAGGCCUACCAAGGCGACGAUCUGUAGCGGGUCUGAGAGGAUGAUCCGCCACACUGGGACUGAGACACGGCCCAGACUCCUACGGGAGGCAGCAGUGGGGAAUAUUGGACAAUGGGGGGAACCCUGAUCCAGCCAUGCCGCGUGUGUGAAGAAGGCCUUAUGGUUGUAAAGCACUUUAAGCGAGGAGGAGGCUCUUUUGGUUAAUACCCAAGAUGAGUGGACGUUACUCGCAGAAUAAGCACCGGCUAACUCUGUGCCAGCAGCCGCGGUAAUACAGAGGGUGCAAGCGUUAAUCGGAUUUACUGGGCGUAAAGCGCGCGUAGGCGGCCAAUUAAGUCAAAUGUGAAAUCCCCGAGCUUAACUUGGGAAUUGCAUUCGAUACUGGUUGGCUAGAGUGUGGGAGAGGAUGGUAGAAUUCCAGGUGUAGCGGUGAAAUGCGUAGAGAUCUGGAGGAAUACCGAUGGCGAAGGCAGCCAUCUGGCCUAACACUGACGCUGAGGUGCGAAAGCAUGGGGAGCAAACAGGAUUAGAUACCCUGGUAGUCCAUGCCGUAAACGAUGUCUACUAGCCGUUGGGGCCUUUGAGGCUUUAGUGGCGCAGCUAACGCGAUAAGUAGACCGCCUGGGGAGUACGGUCGCAAGACUAAAACUCAAAUGAAUUGACGGGGGCCCGCACAAGCGGUGGAGCAUGUGGUUUAAUUCGAUGCAACGCGAAGAACCUUACCUGGCCUUGACAUAGUAGAAACUUUCCAGAGAUGGAUUGGUGCCUUCGGGAAUCUACAU